rnacentral:lncRNA from 1 species
GCUAGAUUUUUAAUUUUACACACUGUGUGCUCGGUUCGCUGUCUGUGCAGGCACGGCAGUCCUGCAGCUCUGACUGGGGUCUCCCCUAUUUCCAUUGCUGUCAAGCAGCUCUCAGACCUGUGAUAAUUUAAUUAACCUGCCCUAUUCUGCCACGUCUGGAGCAGAGGAAAAGGAUCCAGACAUUCAGGGAGUUACUUCUUUGCCUGAGCACAUACAUCUCCUGCACAAAAAGUCACGGAACAGCAAUUUCCCCACCUGGAGAUCUCAUUGUGGGUUUUAAAACUGUAGAUCGUUUUCACAGACACGUGUCAACUGCUUGGGGGAAAGAGGAAAGCAAUCUCUUAGACGGACGGGGGAAGCUGGGAGCCGCGGCUCGCCGAAGUGCUGCGUGUCGUCACGUUUGAUAGCCGGCUGGAGAACCAAGGAGCUUGCACAAGGGCAAAGGAAUUUCAGAAGUUUAAAGCAGCUGAUGGACUUGGAAACCGCUUCUAAUGCUGAAGAGGAAGGGAGAGGCAUCCCAGGUAAGCCAGGCGAGAAGCAAAGUCAGCAAGCGGGAGGCUUUCCACGCUCUGCAGUGGAUUGGAAAACCGUGACAGCUAAACAUUUGGACUUGCUGUUCCCAACCUGUU